rnacentral:rRNA from 1 species
AGCGAGCGCUGGCGGCAGGCCUAACACAUGCAAGUCGAACGAAGCCUUCGGGCUUAGUGGCGGACGGGUGAGUAACACGUGGGAACGUACCUUUUGGUUCGGAACAACUCAGGGAAACUUGAGCUAAUAUCGGAUGAGCCCUUAGGGGGAAAGAUUUAUCGCCGAAAGAGCGGCCCGCGUUAGAUUAGCUAGUUGGUGAGGUAAAGGCUCACCAAGGCAACGAUCUAUAGCUGGUCUGAGAGGAUGAUCAGCCACACUGGGACUGAGACACGGCCCAGACUCCUACGGGAGGCAGCAGUGGGGAAUCUUGCGCAAUGGGCGAAAGCCUGACGCAGCCAUGCCGCGUGAAUGAUGAAGGUCUUAGGAUUGUAAAAUUCUUUUCCCAGGGACGAUAAUGACGGUACCUGGAGAAAAAGCCCCGGCUAACUUCGUGCCAGCAGCCGCCGUAAGAC